rnacentral:rRNA from 1 species
UACGGGGGGGGCAAGCGUUGUUCGGAAUUACUGGGCGUAAAGGGCUCGUAGGUGGCCAACUAAGUCAGACGUGAAAUCCCUCGGCUUAACCGGGGAACUGCGUCUGAUACUGGAUGGCUUGAGUUCGGGAGAGGGAUGCGGAAUUCCAGGUGUAGCGGUGAAAUGCGUAGAUAUUCGGAGGAACACCAGAAGCGAAGGCGGCUCACUGGCCCGAGACUGACGCUGAGGCGCGAAAGCGUGGGGAGCAAACAGG